rnacentral:tRNA from 1 species
ACUUGUAACUUAUAUGCAUUUGAUUUGAAAUCAAAUUGAUUGUUUUUAUUAACAAUACAGGUU